CUGACUGUCUGCUCAGACUAACAGCCUCACCUGUUGUUCCUGUCAAUCAGACACGCAGUGUCAACCAAUGAACCAAAGUUGCAUAAGGGAGGGCCGAGCCAACUCACUCACAGUCACACACUUAGCAGCCGAGGAGAGAGAGGAAAGACAGCUGUGAAAACAACAGCUGGAAAAUUUGUCAGAGGCACAGUAGCAUUUGGAUGCAUUUUAAUAAUGUAGACAAUGUUAGAGCACAGUGUAGAAUUUGCCAAAACAAAAUCUCAUAUAAAGCCGGUUCUACGCACAACCUACACCGGCAUAUGCGAACUGUGCACCCAACUGUGAAGCUAGCUGUAGCGGAGCUUCGAGAAACUAGCGGGCCUGCUAGUGAUAGUGGUGGAGCCAGCAUCUCCACACGUGGAGAUGUAUCCACUCAGUCAAGUAGCUCUACUCCGCGACCCACAGCAACGCAGUCUUCUAUGGACCAGUUUAUGCCAAAGUCUAUGUCUGUAGCAAAACAAGGCCAAAUUAAUAUUGCAUUGGCUAAAAUGAUUGCCACCGAUUUCCAGCCAUUUUCGAUUGUAGAGGACAGAGGUUUUGGAAAUUAUAGAAAUAGUCUAUAUCCAAUGUACACAAUUCCAUGCAGGAAAACCCUUUCAAAAUCACUUAUUCCACAACUGUAUGAGAGCACACAGGCUUCGGUGCGGGAAAGAGUCCAAAAAGCUACUGCAGUUUGCCUUACCACUGACUGCUGGACAUCAAGGGUAACCACUUCUUACAUGUCGGUUAUAUGUCACUUCAUUGAAGUUUUUCCGAUGUCUAGCUGUCUUCUGGACUGCUUUGAGUUCAGCGACAGACACACCUCAGAGAACUUGGCAGAGGAACUGUUGAGAGUGGCCAGAGAAUGGCAAGUAGAUGGAAAAGUGGUCUGUUGUGUUAGCGACAAUGCAGCUAACAACCAAAGCCAUGAAAAUGUUAAAAUGGACUCAUCGUCCAUGUCUUGCCCACACAAUCAACCUGAUUGUAAGAGAUGCUCUGAAGGUGAUGAAGCCCACUGUGGACAAAGUGAAAGCAGCUGUGGAACACUUCCACAGGAGCUCAGUAGGUGCUGAAAAACUAAAGUCUACACAAUGCCAGAUGGGGAUGCCUGAGCUGAGGCCUAAACAAGACUGCACGACAAGGUGGAAUUCAACAUUUUAUAUGUUGAAGAGGUUUUUUGAGUCAAAGGAUGCCAUCAUCUCUACCCUGGCCAUUGUCAAUGCACCUGUUAAUGCUCUGACCCAAGAGCAAUGGGAGGAGGUGUGCAGUGUCCUGGAACCCUUUGAGCAGGUCACUGUGGAGAUCAGUGGAGAGAGGUACAGUAAGCAGUUAUUACUACAUCAUUAUUUAAUCCAGUAUUAUAUAUGAAUAUGAGCAGUAGAUGAGAAUGUAGUAUCAGUAGUCAAAACAUGAACCUGAACUAAUAAGUUACUGUUCUCUCUUUUCAGCUAUCUGACAGCCUCAAAAAUGAUACUCCCGUGUAAGGGUCUGCAGCGAAUCCCAGCCACCAGUCAGAGAGAAGCAAAUGUAACCAGAACACAUGUGACUGAGUUGAUGGACACUUUUACAGAUACAGACUGCAGGGUCAAAGGGGUUCGUAACAGACACCCUAUGUUCAUCAAUGGACAGAAAGUUCCACAGAAUGGAAUAUAAUCACAUGCUAUCAGAAACCGCUGCACUUGACCCCAGGUUUAAGAAGUUAGCCUUCAGUGAUGCCAGAGCGAUUGAUGAGGCUCUUCAAAGAAUAACCUCAGCAGCAGGGAGGGACAGCCCCAGCAGUCAGCUGGCUCAGGCACCAAGGCAACAGGAAGAAGAGAGAUCAGAUGGAGGAGAGGCACCAGCAGUAGUGCCACAAACGUCUGCUGUUUGGAUGCUGUUUGACGAGAGAGCAACUGGGGAUGCAGCACGAAGGAAUCCCUUAGCAGAUGCGAUAAUGGAGGUCCGAUCCUAUUUGGAAGAGCCCCUCCUCCAAAGAUCUGCAGAUCCUCUGAGCUGGUGGAAGAACAAGGCCUCUGUCUCCCCACGGCUUACUAAAGUCAUGACAGGGAGACUCUGCAUAGUGGGCACAUCCGUUCCCUCUGAGAGGGUCUUCUCGAAAACGGGACAAAUAAUUACUGAGAGAGGAAACCGCAUCAGCCCCUCAAAUGAGGCAGCUUGCAUUUCUGAAUGCAAAUCUCUCAUAAAAGUAAAAUAUGGUCAGCAUUGCUGUGUGCGGCUGGUUAUAACAUGGCAAUAAAGAAGAGAGAGAAAAGAGGGACCAGUUUAAUGUUUUAAGUGGGAUGCUGCAGGUUUGCACAUUGUUUUUUAUUUUUCUUUGAUAUGGUG
rnacentral:lncRNA from 1 species